rnacentral:rRNA from 1 species
AGUUUUAUAUUUAUUAUUUUUUUUAGUUUAAUUUUUUUGUAAAGAAUAAUUUUUUGUUAUAGUAUAUUUUAUUUAAAUAAUUUUAAUUGUUAUAGUUGAUUUUACUGUAAAGGUUUAUAUAAAGUUUGUUAAAAGUAAAUUUUAUUUUUUGUACCUUUUGUAUCAGGGCUUAUUAAUUGAAAUUAUGUAUAUUUGUUUCCCGAAUUUAAGAGAUAUAAAUAUGUAUGUUAGUUUUUGUUUCAAUAUUAUUGAUAAUAUGUAUUUAGUUGUGAUAUGCUAUUCAUUCUUAUAUAUCUGGUUCUUUAAUAAUUAAAUUUAAUUUAGGAUUAAUUUUGGUGUAAUUUUUAUUUUAUUAAUAUUCAUAAUUUAUUCUAAUAAUGUUGGGGAUAAGCUUGGCAUUAUAUUUUCUAUAAUUUUGUUUUUACUAAAUUUUUUGUAGGCUUAAUAAUGGCCAUCAUGGAUUUUUUUAUAAUUCUUUUUUGUUUGUUAUGAUUUUUUUUUAUUUAGUUUUUUAUUAAGGUAUUUUGUUGAAUUUUUUCGGUUAAGUAAUAAUGAUAAGAUUAGUAUUUUUGUUAAUUAGUAUAUAGUAACUCGGCAAAUUUAAUUUUCGCCUGUUUAACAAAAACAUGUCCUUUAGUUAUUUAUUUAAGGUCUGUCCUGCUCAAUGAUUAGUUUAAAUGGCUGCGGUAAUUUAACCGUACAAAGGUAGCAUAAUCAUUUGUCUUUUAAUUGGAGGCUGGUAUGAAUGGUUGGACGAGAAAUUUACUUUCUUUAUAUUAUAGAAUGAAAUUAAUUUUUUAGUUAAAAAGCUAAAAUGUUUUUAUAGGACGAGAAGACCCUAUAGAAUUUUAUAAUUUUUUUUAAAAUUGAUUUUUUGUUUAUUAUUUUUGUUUUUGGAAAAAAUUAUUUUGUUGGGGUGACAUGAAGACUUCAUUAACUCUUCUAUUUUGUUUUCAAUAAUUAUUGUUUUUUUGAUCCAUUAUUAUUGAUUAUUAGAUUAAAUUACCUUAGGGAUAACAGCGUAAUUUCUUUUUAGAGUUCUUAUCGAUAAGGAAGUUUGCGACCUCGAUGUUGAAUUAAGAUUAUUACUAGGUGUAGAAGUUUAUGUAAUAGGUCUGUUCGACCUUUAAAAUCUUACAUGAUUUGAGUUCAAACCGGCGUGAGCCAGGUUGGUUUCUAUCCUUAAUUUUUUUUAAUGAUUUAGUACGAAAGGACCAAUUAUUAGUAAUAUUUUAUUUUUGUUGAAUAAUAUUA